rnacentral:rRNA from 1 species
CUAUACCUAAACGUAGUGAAAAAUAUCUUAAAUAUAAUUCUAAUUAUAAUAUUGAUCAUGACAAUUUUAUAGUUAAUAGUCUUGACCAAAUCUUGUGCCAGCAGUCGCGGUAACACAAGGAAGACGAGUGUUAUUCAUGUUAAAUAGGUUUAAAGGGUACCUAGACGGUAGAUUAAUCUUAAAUGAACGAUCUAGCUAGAGUUAUAUAUUGGAGAGGAUGUCAGAACUAAUGGAGUAGAGAUGUAAUUUUUUGAUACUAUUAUGACUGGUAACGGCGAAGGCAAACCUUUAUAUAUUAACUGACGUUGAGGGACGAAGGCUUGGGUAACAAACAGGAUUAGAUACCCUAUUAGUCCAGGCAGAAAAUGAUGAAUGUCAUAAAUUAAUUAUCUAUAUAUCUAGCUAAGAUUACAAUAGAUGUAUUUUAUAAAUGAAAGUGUAAGCAUUCCACCUCAUGAGUAAUGUGGCAACGCAGGAAUUGAAAUCAUUAGGCCGUUUCCGAUAAAAGUAGUGAAGUAUGUCGUUUAAUUCGAUGAUCCUCGAAAAACCUUACCACAAUUUGAAUAUAUAUGUUUACAAGUGUUGCAUUGUUGUCUUUAGUUAAUGUCGUGAGAUAUGAUUAGAUUCAACUAAAUUAACGUAAUCCUUUGCUUUACUUAAAUGGAAAUAAAGCAGUUCUCUAACAUAAUGGAUAUGAUAACAAGGAGUAAGACAAAUCAUAAUGACCUUA